rnacentral:SRP_RNA from 1 species
GCACAGGGAUACACACUUGUAAUCCCAGAUACAAUAGGAUGGCUGAAGCUGGAGGAUUUUUAGAGCUCAGGUGUUCUGAGUUGUAGAGAGCUAUGCUGAUCCAUGGUCUGCACUAAGUUCAACAUUAAUAUGGUGAGUCCCCAGGAAGUGGGCAGAGUGGGACCACCUGUUUGCUUAAAGAGGGACAAACCAGAUCAGGUCAGACAUGGAAUCAGUCAAAGCUGUGCAGAUCGUAGUGGGAAUGGGCUUUGAUAUAGCCGCUGUAUUUUCAGCCUCAGAGAGAUGAGGAGACCUAGCUUUU